rnacentral:lncRNA from 12 species
GAAAAAUGUGCCUUGAAGACAACCAUGAUGUUGGACUGAGAACCUCAGCAUUCAGGGUCUGCCAGCAGGAUACAGCACAUGGCACACACAGCAGACCUUGUCUCACAAGUGCCAAGGGGAAUUCUACAGCCCUUUUAUUUGGAGACCAG